AUCGCUUCUCUCUACCUCUUGGCUAAGAUCAUGUGUAGUAUCUCUUCUUAUCAGUUUAACAUCUGAUAUGUCCUUGAAAAAGAGAGAGAGAGAGAGACCUGGGGUGAGGGAUGUGGCCAGACCACUAUGACUCCACGGCCUACACAGCCAGGCUCUCUCACCUGUG
rnacentral:snRNA from 1 species